GUAGUCCACGCCCUAAACGAUGCUGACUAGUUGUUCGGGAUUUACAUCCUGAGUAACAUAGCUAACGCGUGAAGUCAGCCGCCUGGGGAGCACGGUCGCAAGAUUAAAACUCAAAGGAAUUGACGGGGACCCGCACAAGCGGUGGAUGAUGUGGAUUAAUUCGAUGCAACGCGAAAAACCUUACCUACCCUUGACAUGUCACUAACGAAGUAGAGAUACAUUAGGUGCCCGUAAGGGAAAGUGAACACAGGUGCUGCAUGGCUGUCGUCAGCUCGUGUCGUGAGAUGUUGGGUUAAGUCCCGCAACGAGCGCAACCCUUGUCUUUAGUUGCUACGCAAGGGCACUCUAAAGAGACUGCCGGUGACAAACCGGAGGAAGGUGGGGAUGACGUCAAGUCCUCAUGGCCCUUAUGGGUAGGGCUUCACACGUCAUACAAUGGUGCAUACAGAGGGUUGCCAACCCGCGAGGGGGAGCUAAUCUCAGAAAAUGCAUCGUAGUCCGGAUCGUAGUCUGCAACUCGACUACGUGAAGCUGGAAUCGCUAGUAAUCGCGGAUCAGAAUGUCGCGGUGAAUACGUUCCCGGGUCUUGUACACACCGCCCGUCAUACCAUGGGAGUGGGUU
rnacentral:rRNA from 1 species